UACAGAGGGGGCAAGCGUUGUUCGGAAUUACUGGGCGUAAAGGGCGCGUAGGCGGCCCGCUAAGUCGAACGUGAAAUCCCCGGGCUCAACCCGGGAACUGCGUCCGAUACUGGCGGGCUUGAAUCCGGGAGAGGGAUGCGGAAUUCCAGGUGUAGCGGUGAAAUGCGUAGAUAUCGGGAGGAACACCUGAGGCGAAGGCGGGCUACUGGGCCGAUACUGACGCUGAUGCGCGAAAGCGUGGGGAGCAAACAGG
rnacentral:rRNA from 1 species